GGAUGUGAGGGCGAUCUGGCUGCAACAUCUGUCCCCCCACUGAUCGCCAGGGUUGAUUUGGCUGGUAUGGCUGGCUAGGGGGGUGUUCCCUUCCUCCCUCACCACUCCAUGUGCAUCUCUCCGGAAGCUGAGCGCUUGGUCAAAGAGGACGGCCUUCCCAGAAUAGAGACGGACUGGUCUUCUGUCUAGGGUAUAGGAGUAGCUGCGCUCCACUGCUAUAACCUCCAAACAAGCUCUCAAGAAAGACUAUAACAUUUCAAAAAGAAUAUGGAGAAGAAAGGUUUAGGAGUAAAAUGAAGUAACUAUGAGAAAUAUCUAACUCUAUUAGAAAAGUAAAUAUAAGGAU
ensembl:misc_RNA 7SK 7SK RNA